AUUGAACGCUGGCGGCAUGCCUUACACAUGCAAGUCGAACGGUAACAGGUCUUCGGAUGCUGACGAGUGGCGAACGGGUGAGUAAUACAUCGGAACGUGCCCGAUCGUGGGGGAUAACGAGGCGAAAGCUUUGCUAAUACCGCAUACGAUCUACGGAUGAAAGCGGGGGAUCUUCGGACCUCGCGCGGACGGAGCGGCCGAUGGCAGAUUAGGUAGUUGGUGGGAUAAAAGCUUACCAAGCCGACGAUCUGUAGCUGGUCUGAGAGGAUGAUCAGCCACACUGGGACUGAGACACGGCCCAGACUCCUACGGGAGGCAGCAGUGGGGAAUUUUGGACAAUGGGCGAAAGCCUGAUCCAGCCAUGCCGCGUGCAGGAUGAAGGCCUUUGGGUUGUAAACUGCUUUUGUACGGAACGAAAAGCCUCUUACUAAUAAAGAGGGGUCAUGACGGUACCGAAAGAAUAAGCACCGGCUAACUACGUG
rnacentral:rRNA from 1 species